rnacentral:rRNA from 1 species
GACGAACGCUGGCGGCGCGCUUAACACAUGCAAGUCGUGCGGUGGUGGAAGGCAAGUCUUACGACAAGCCUUCGACACAGCGGCGAACGGGUGAGUAACACGUGAGUAGCUGUCCUAAGGAGGGGGAUAACGCCUGGAAACGGGUGCUAAUACCCCAUAUGCCUCGCAAGAGGUGAAAGUGUACUUGCUACAGCCUUAGGGUGUGCUCGCGGCCUAUCAGCUAGUUGGUGAGGUAACGGCUCACCAAGGCUAAGACGGGUAGCCGGCCUGAGAGGGUGUACGGCCACACUGGAAUUGAGAUACGGUCCAGACUCCUACGGGAGGCAGCAGUGGGGAAUCUUGGGCAAUGGGCGAAAGCCUGACCCAGCGACGCCGCGUUGGGGAUGAAGCCCUUCGGGGCGUAAACCCAUGUUGUAGGGGACGAAGAAAGUGACGGUACCCUACGAGAAAGCCCCGGCCAACUACGUG